GCAGACCCGAAACGAGGGGAACAAGCCAUGAGGAAGUUGAAGCUAGUGUAAGAGCUAGUGGAGGAGUGAACCCAUAGGCGUUGAAAAGACCCGGGAUGACUUGUGGAUAGGGGUGAAAGGCCAAUCAAACUUCGUGAUAGCUGGUUCGCUCCGAAAUAUAUUUAGGUAUAGCGUUGGGUCGUAAUAUAAGGGGGUAGAGCACUGAAUGGGCUAGGGCA
rnacentral:rRNA from 1 species